AAUUCUUGUCUAUAUCCUGGGAACUAUUCAGAUCAUAAAACACGAAAAAAUGGCUGCCGUUCAGCAAGAUAUCGAAUCACAAAUAAAAGAACUCCAAAAUUUGAGAGGUAAUAAAAUAAAUGAUAAAGAUGAAGAAACCCAAAAAAAAGCCGGUAUUGCUUUUGGAACUGCAGUAGAAGCAGAGCUUUAUGGUACAGCCAGUGACAAGUAUGCUGGUUAUGAUAUGUCAAUUGCUACUAAUGACCAAGAAGA
rnacentral:lncRNA from 1 species